UACUCCUACGGGAGGCAGCAGUGGGGAAUAUUGGACAAUGGACCGAGAGUCUGAUCCAGCAAUUCUGUGUGCACGAUGAAGUUUUUCGGAAUGUAAAGUGCUUUCAGUUGGGAAGAAACAAAUGACGGUACCAACAGAAGAAGUGACGGCUAAAUACGUGCCAGCAGCCGCGGUAAUACGUAUGUCACGAGCGUUAUCCGGAUUUAUUGGGCGUAAAGCGCGUCUAGGUGGUUAUGUAAGUCUGAUGUGAAAAUGCAGGGCUCAACUCUGUAUUGCGUUGGAAACUGUAUAACUAGAGUACUGGAGAGGUAAGCGGAACUACAAGUGUAGAGGUGAAAUUCGUAGAUAUUUGUAGGAAUGCCGAUGGGGAAGCCAGCUUACUGGACAGAUACUGACGCUGAAGCGCGAAAGCGUGGGUAGCAAACAGGAUUAGAUACCCUGGUAGUCCACGCCGUAAACGAUGAUUACUAGGUGUUGGGGGUCGAACCUCAGCGCCCAAGCAAACGCGAUAAGUAAUCCGCCUGGGGAGUACGUACGCAAGUAUGAAACUCAAAGGAAUUGACGGA
rnacentral:rRNA from 1 species